rnacentral:lncRNA from 1 species
CCAAUAUUUUGAAUUUGACAAGCUUUAUUUCUAUUUCAAUUCACAAACUAUUCCAACAAAUUAUCACCAUGUCAGUAGCUUGUCUAUCUAUCACAGGUGCGUUCCCUUUUCUGCAACAAGGACCUUUGUUUUCUUCCCAUUUGAUACAACUGGUAGGACAGAACUGGAGAGCAAGUGUAACAGCAGUAGAGUAUUAUUGAACAUUACAAAAAAGAAAAAUCGUUCGAAACGUACUUUAAAUUCACCAUCCAAAUAAGUACAGAGUAUACAGGGGAGACAAUUUUUUUUUUUACAACAAAAGUUUCAACUAGAAGGAUUAAACAUCAGUACCAAGGAUACAUAUUACAAUUCUUCGUCGCCUGAUGAUCUUCACAAGCAUAUAGGGAGUGAUGAUUUCAAGGCUACAAAUUCAUCGAUUUCUUUGAAAGAGCCUCACCAUUAAACCCUGUUUCAUUUGGAUAAUAAUGGAGUCACCAGGGGAAAUAGGAUGACCAUCCACCACUUGGACGUGGUAAUUGUAGAUGAUGGAGGCUGCCACCAUUUUCAUCUGAACAAAAGCCAUCUCCUUGCCCAAACAAGUCCUUGGUCCGGCAUUAAACGCAGGGAACUUGAAGGAAGGUUCGUGCCUGAUUCUCCCCCGUUCCGAUAUCCACCUUUCAGGCUUAAACUCCAAGCAAUCUUCACCCCAUAAGGACUCCAUCCUCCCCAUGGAGUAGAAGAAAAGAAUCAGUUUGGUAUUUGGUUCGACGCGUACACCACUUGGAAGAAUGUCGGCCUGGACUGGAGCUUUGUGCUCUAAAGCCACGGGCGGAUAUAGCCUGAGAGCUUCACAGAGAGCAGCAUGGAGGUAAACGAGUUUAUGGGACUGUUGGACAUUGAAGAGCCUCGAAUCUUGACCUUGUUUCACCACGUCCAACUCAUUUGCUAUCUCUUCAAGAAUCUUCUCCUCAGCCCAAGGAUUUGUUGCAAUCAGCCAGAAAAACCAUGUGAGAGCUGUACUGGUGGUGUCUCUACCAGCAAACAUCAAAUUCAGAAUGUUGUCUCUCAUGAACGCUUUUGCAUCGCGAAUACUAUUGUUUGUCUCCUCGUAAGCCUCCAUUAAAGUGGUUAGUCCGACAAACCUGCGUUCCUCGUCAAACAUUUUACUCCGUUUUUCUUGCUUCAGUGAUAUGCGAGGGUAAAUGAAUUGAUCAAAAGCAUCCCAAGCUUUGCUCAGCUUCUUCUCUUUACCGAUUCCUAGCCAUUUCUGAAGCUUCCAGUAGCGCUCCGGCAAUAUGUGCCUAUGUAACAGGACUAACGCUAGAUCGUUGAAAGCCUUCUCACAUGGAAUGUUUGGCAAAUCCAAGGAUAAGCUGCCUGGGUCAUGGUCGAGUACCAAUUUUGAUAUGCUAUCAAAAGCGAACCUCUGGAAUAUGUCUUGCAAGUCAAGCUGGGAUCCUGUUUUUGCACAGUUUUGUAAAACUGGGAGGAGCCCUUUUUCCACUUUGUCCCAAACAGUUACUUCCAAUAGUUUCAGGAAACUGGGGUGGUGCAUAAGCGACAAAGUUACUCUCCUGUGAGUUUCCCAUAACUGGGAAUCAGCAUUGAAAAUCCCAUCUCCCAAAAUAUCAAAUAUUUUCCUGAAUUCGGGACCCUUUGGGUAGUUUGAGAAGUUUUUGCUGAGAAUGUAAUGGAUGUUGGCAGGAUCACAGGUGAGGACCAUGUGCAUAUUAGCAAACCAAGGGCCGCUGGCCUCGAAGGUGCCUCCACUCUCUUUAAGAACCUCUGUUCCAUAAUCUUGUAGCCUGUGAGAGUUCCGAACAAGCCCUGGCAUCAUACCGAUGACUGGCCAGUUUGUGGGCAGUGAGCUAUUUCUCCACCGCCGGCAAAAACUGUAGUAGUAACAGAAAAGAAAAAAGAAACAAAAUAGUGCAGGAAGAGUUUCAAGAUAUGAUUGAAUACUGUAAGCCAUCAGAGCAGGUCUGUUUCUUGUCGAUAUUCUCA